AUCUCUCUCUGGAGAUCACUUCUCUUGGAGUAUAGGACGUGGUCUAUUUUUGUUUUGCAGGUUGUCCCUAUAAUUUACAAAUACAUUUUUCAGACCAGUGAUGAACUGUCUUAAAGAAGAAAUCAAGCUGAAAAAUACUUGCGCAAGACUAAAAACAGAUGAUUUUUGAUCACAAGACUAGUAUGGUACAGCUCUACAUUCCCACCCAUUCAAGUCAACGAUGACAGGCCUAAGUCAGGCAGUACUGUGGAGCACUGUGACAGCCUUCUCCUUUUAGUUAGUUGAAAUGAAAGCAUCACUGGAGUCAGAGGCCAGGGAAACUGAUAUUCUUGAAAUGAUACUUCCCUGAACCCGUGAUUUUAUUGAUGGUCUUGUACAAUUCAUAAUCCUCUGGAAUGUUAUGGGCUACUCAGAGAGGUUGUAGAGUCUCCUCUGCGGGUACCCAAAACCAGCCUGGAUGCUUUCCUUUGCAACAUACUCUAGGAAACCUGCUUUAGCACAGAAGUCCCUUCUAACCCCUAUGAUUCUGCCAGUCUGUGAAUACUGAUUCAAGAGAGCAGAAAGUUAAAGCUGUCCCUAGUCUUGCUGAUCUUCAUAGGUACCAAGGAGAACACGAAGGUGGUCUGCAUUGGAAAACUAUAUGGAAAGGCUUGGUUGUCUUAGCAUUGCGUGUUUGAUAUCUUCACUGUAUUUUGGCAACAAUUUAUUUUACGAGUAAGUAGGGUGAAUAUUUGCAUAGUUAUAAUAAACGUAUCUCUGUGUCAUAGUGGAGUAGAAAAUACAUUCCAUUCAUAAAAAUCUACUAGAUCAUUAUAUAUGAUAGUGUUAGAUUAAAUUCAGUUUUUAUAGCUUAGGAAAUGCAGAUUUGAGGCUGAAAGUUCACUCCUGAAUCAUCCUGUUUAACAUGACAGUUCUCAAUACUGAGCCUAAUCACGGGCAGAUACAGACAUGGUGGUCUGAGACUUAGGACAGUGAAAUAACAGAAAUCUUUGGGUUCCUUUGGCCCUGAUAAUCAGGCUUAUGAUUAAUCAUGAGUUAACGGAAUCUUAAAUGCUCACAAAAAUUAUGAGCAAUAGCAUAGCAACCGCGAUUAGUUUGUUCCUUAGCUGUGUAAAGUACUCUUUGUGUUCUUAGGUAAAGUGUAGAAAAGAAGUGUCAGAGGACAUUCCCUCUGCAAGAGUUUUCUUCAGCUAAUAUGAAAGCUGUCAACUUGUUGUAUUUUUAGAUUUCAUGGUACAGAGCAGUCUGUGAGUAUGAAGGAAAGGACUACAGUGAGAUUUGGCUGUUCUUUGUUUUCAGUAAGUACUUUCGAAAGGACUAUGUAUGUUUAUUACUGAGAGAUGGUAUAGACAGUUUCUCCUUGCUUCCUGCUAUCCCAGGAGCAAAAGGAACAGAUUUUCCCCCAGAUUGUUCCUUAGAACGGAUGCUUCAAGCCAGAGUUUCUUUGACUCUGGAAAAAACAUGCUCACAGUGAUGCUAAAAAUUUAAGAUAUCUAAUCAGUAAAUAAACAAAGGCAAAUGGCAAACCUAAACUGAAAUAUUCACCAGAAAAUCUGAAUAGUGCUCAGGGGAAAAAUAGUGAUGCUAAACUUGUUGUCCUCUUUUGUGUGGUCCUAAGGAAAAAGAGUUUGUUCUUUUUUAGGUGGUGCUAUAGAGGCCAAAUUCCAUGACUGACUCCCUGUGCGUAUGCAGUGUGAAUUGCAAAUGCAGUGUUUAACUGUGCACUAUGUCAAAGUAUUUUUCGUACAUAGGUAUUUCACUGUGCAUAAACCUUUUUCUUUGUGGAUUUACAGAAAAAUGUAGUAAAAAGGGGUUAUGUGCUUAUUCUUGCUGCAUUUAUUUUGCUGAUAGAGACAGGGUUGUAAAGCAGAGUUCAGCAUCUUGGAUGCUAAUUUAGAGACUAAAAUAAUAUUCUUCUGUCCGCCCAGUUAUUCCUGUGAAAUACUGACAAAUCAUAUGACAGAUUUCACAGGUAGUCAUCAAUUGUGCUCUAGGUGUCUUGUUUUGUUUUUCCUCUUUGCAUACCUAAUUUCUUAUGUUGCAGUCUGACCUCUUGUAACUGAGAUCAGUAAGGGCUGUGCUUUGAGGGCUAGGUGUUCUGAAAUGUCACAUCUGAAACUGGAUGCACCAUAUCAUCAGGUAUUGCUGUUUAUAGCAACUUAUGUCCUUGGCUUCUGUCCAUAAAAUGAAGCAAAACCCACCCUCAUACUGCAAGUGAGAUAGAGUGAUGGUAAUGAAUUGCCACUAUGAAGUAUUUCUACAGAAAAGCUUGUGGGAGUGUAAAUAACGCAGUAUUCUGGGCAGAAUUUAAUCAUUAUUCAGUGAAAAGGCCUAAAGCCACUCACUCAUAGGAGAAUGGAGGUGAAAUUUUGAAAAACUUCUGAGAAGUCUGGCUUUGACUUUUGUAAGUCAAAGUGAGAUAAGGAUCUUGCAGAAUUAGUGAUCAAGUCCUUAAAGAGGCUACCACAAAUUAACUUCACAAGUUUAGGAAUAGGACCAGGCAGAGCAAACUAAGAGAGGCUUAUCCACUCUGUCUCCACUGUUUUCACCAUCAUGGCAGCACAUCUUUUCCAUGAAAGAACUAGUACAUGUCAGAAUUGUGUUGCUAGAAAGGACAGAUGCCAAGUAGUCAAUACAGUGCAGAACUAAUGAAAUCCUGACGUUAUAGGUUGUGAUUUUUUUAUAUAUAUAUAAAUGUUUCUACCUCCAGUAGAUGUGAUUUUCCUGGAUAAUGUUAAAGUAGCAACCUCCUGAUCAUGCUGCAGAGGAGGUAUGAGUCAGUGUUUAUGUGUAACUUUAGCCGGUGUAAACAACCGGUUUAUCUGCAUUAUGAAAGUGUUUUGCUGAUAUGGAGCAGCUGACAUGGCCUACAUUUAGAGCAUUUCCCCUAACCUUCCUUGAAGUAUUUGUUAGAUUCUGUCUGAUCAGAGAUCAAUCCAGUUUAAAAGUAACAACCCUCCUGUUCUUGUUACCUUCUGAGUUGAACUAAUUAUUUUGCUUUGCUCAGCAGUAACCAUUACUUUGCUUAGACCAUUCUCUUUUCCUUUUUCAUUAUCUAGAAAUAUGUCUUGCCCUCAUUAAAAGCUUUUGUAGGUUCUUUGGCAUGUAAUCAUUAAGUAAUAUAAAAGCAUCAGGGAAAGGUUUGGCAAAGAUGAAGGGAAGUUUCUAGUGAAGAGACACUGAGAGGUGAAAGAAAUGAAUAGGGUGGGCGACAAUGAAAGACCUAGAAACUAAGUUGUCUGAGGAAGGUAAAUACUGGUAAUGGAAAUUACUACCCCUUAGCAGUAAUACAGCAGCAUGUUCAGUUAAGUUCAAAAGUGGGGAACUUAAAAGUUAUUGACAAGAAUUUCUGUCACCAAUUGAUGUCAUAAUUGAAUUAAGAUACUUCUAAAGGACCAUAUCAAAGCCCAAAACUUCAGAAGAUACUGAAAUUAUGAAUGUUAAUAUUGCAAUAACAAUGGUAGGAGAGGUAAGGAGUGGCAAGUUUAUCACCCAAGCUUUUGUCCAAUUGUCAGUUUAAAGAUCUUGGUAAGACUAAAUGAGAGAAGGGAAGAGCACAAGAGAUUAAUCUAUUUGGUUCUUUCUAGAUACCCAUUUGAAACUGGCUAUAGACAUGAUCACCUUCAGGUACUUUCUAUACUGCCAUGAAUUGCUAAUUAAAACUAUUGGAUUAAGAAUGUGCUCAUAUUGGUGAGUUUCGUUAAUGACACUAAUACCUAGAAGCAAGAAGACAUGCAGAGAAAACAGCGCCAUUGUUGACUAUUGAAUACUGCAGAAUGCGAAUCCCUUCCUCUCCUUUAUUCCUUACAAUACAAGUAUAUACAUGUCUAUAACCAGUAUAUUGUAUAUAAUAUUAAUUUUAGUCAAAUCAGUCUCUUUGGAGAUAUGAGACACCACUGUGUGAUCUAGCUGCAGUUCUGAUUGUGUUAGCAUAGUUUGUUCUUCUGCCAGCCUUCAAUUAAAAGAAUAUUGCUUCCUACAAAUAAUCAUACUGGAAUCUGAUGUAUUGCUGUGGUGGGUCUGAUCCCUUUUACAUAGUAUAGUUUCUAAGAAAAACACGUAGAAGCACUGUACAGGAAAGGUUCAAAACUGGUAUAGAUGGAAAUAUACAUAAAUGUAAAUUUCAUGCUGGACAAUUCUGCAUAAGCUAUGUGAGCUUUCUUGAAUUAAGUGCUGUGAAGAGAAAAUGCUUCUUUAUGAGCAUUAUUCUGUAACAUACUAGUUAAUAACUUUUCUCUCCACAAGUCAACUAAAGCAACCUCAUCUGAUCAUUCUGCUUAAGUAGACACAACUUUGAUCAAAUUUCUGAAAGGCUCAAGGCUCUUUUUGAACAUUAUGAUAUACAUACAUAUUAAGGUUUUGGAAUAGGCUUUCAUCUGCUCUCGCACACAGGACUUCUGUACUUAUGGUCCUUCUCUAUCCUAGAUGUGAAUGUUCUCUAACCAAAACUGGGAAUGUGAAGAGUUCUUAGAACAUAAGUGAAUACCUUUACAGCAGCUCUGUUGUUCCUGACUGAAGGUUGGAAUUUUGUAAUUGCCUCCUAUUACAAAUUAAUGAUUCUAGAAGACACUUAUACCUGUAUUAUUUACAGAAUGAAGCUUUGAAACUAUAUACUACAGAUAGCAGGUUAGAUUACAAAAAAAUGCCUGUAUCAUCCAAGAGAAGGAACAUAAGGACCAUGAAGUUGUAGACUUUGAGUUGUGUU
ensembl:lncRNA